CUGGAGGAUCGUGAGCAGCGUUCACGGGAAACGGAGCGAUUCGCGCUUGCUUUGGCAUGCAUUCUCCAGACAAGGCAACCGAUCAGAAGCUUCUUGCCUUAACCUCCUGUCCUACGAGUCCGGAAGGAGGUAAAAUGGCAUCUUUACAAGGCGACGAGUUCAACGACGGCGUCCCGCCUGCAGCGCCGCACCUGUUAUCUGCAAACUGGCGCUGUACUGUACUGUACCUCCGAUGCCUGCUCCCGGUAAGACACGGGCAAAUUAUAUUCUGAACAGCCUCAUAUAAAAUCGAGCUGCUGCUUAAAUCCUGUCUGGUGAUUCCUCCACACACACAUGUGGUGCAUGAAAGUGCGUUUGUGCAAUACUACAAUUGGAAGCAUCUACCUCGAUUUAAUUUCUAUAAGAAAACGUUGAAAAUACCGUCAUUUUGUGCUCGUGCUCCAUAAAAGGUGUCAUCUUUUCUUUCCACCAUUCAUAUGUUCUAGUGCUUCUGAACUCAGGGUGAAGGAAAUCAAAUUACUGCAGUUGCUCCUUCAUCCCUGUUGUUUCACAGAUGAAUUUGUUGUCCCAAGGCACGGAAUAGUGCGAGAUCCGAGGAAAACGGAGUCGACGACAAAAGCUGCAGCCAUCUCAUCUCGAUGUGUGCCGGCCGCAUGCUGCCUUUCACCUUCCAAGAACCCGCGCAGCGCAAGCAAGCUCAUCGUCAACUGCUGGGCAGAACACAAGGCCCUGCAAGGUAUGCAGCAGCUACUGCUUCCAAGGCUCCCUUCCAUCUGGAGUCUGGACACAGUUGUUGCCUGCCUCGC
rnacentral:lncRNA from 7 species